AUCUCUAAGAUUUUAUAGCAUAGUUAUUACAUCCGACCGUGCACUAUGCUUGAAAUGUGUUAAUGUGCACAAGCUAUUCAAGAUUUUAGCUUUUGUUUUUUUGAAAAAAAAAAUGAUCUAAAAAAAAAAGAUAGAACUAACACGAAAAAAAUAAUCUUUAGACCUGAUUUUUUAUUUAAUUUAAAUUUAAAUUUAAAUUAUAUAAAAACUGUUCUAGUAUAAUUUAGCUUCCUCCAUUUAAAAGGAACUGUAAUUAUUAUUAAAAAAAUCAAAAGAUAAAUUUUUUUUAAAAAAAGAAUGAGAAAAAAGAGGGAAGGGGCUGAAUUGAAAAAAUAAAUAGAAGAGGAGCUUCUUGGUAACCUACUGUCUUACUGUAGAAAAACAAGGGGUCUCCUUGAGACUUGAGAGCGAUGGUCAUCGAAGACAAAGAGCUCUAAAUUCAAAGAAAUAUGGGUAUGGUAAGUAAUCUAUGUCUUGUUGCUAGUGUUUAUUUGUCAACGACAUCGUAAUAACACUCACCAUUCUCUCCUGCUCUCUACCAUCGCUUCUAUCGACUCCUAGCUACGCGCCUUUUACAUGUUUGUUAUAAGUUCCCAGAGAAGCCCAGAUGCGUGAAGAAUGAGAACUUACAUAAUCAAAUCUCUUUUCAAACACCCGUUUACCUUCUCUAUCACAAUCCGAUCGAAAACAACGUCAGCCCAGUACGUAGCAUCGAGAGCUAGAGAUGCUACAUUUGAGAAGCUAAUGGACAAGUAUAAAAACUUUGUCAAGGUCAUUGCCAUUCAAGAUUUGAUUCUCUCAAACCCUAACAAAACCCCUCCAUGCAUUUCACUUGAUUUCCUUUCAAAACUUUCCCAGAAGCUCCAUCUUAACCGCGGCGCACCUUCGUUUCUCAGAAAGUACACUCACAUUUUCCACAUUUUCUAUGACCCCGCGAAAUCCCAGGCUUUUUGCAGACUAACUGAUACUGCUCUUGAAAUUUCUCGCAAAGAAGAAGAAGCUGUCAAUGCCUCAUUGCCUCUUGUUGUUGACCGAUUGGUUCGGCUUUUGUUUAUGUCAACGUCCAAAUCACUGCCACUUCGUGCCGUUUUUAAAGUUUGGAGGGAGCUGGGCCUUCCUGAUGACUUUGAGGAUUCGGUGAUAGUGAAAAACCCGAACCUUUUUAGACUUUGUGAUGGAAAUGAACCCCGUACACAUGUUUUGAAGCUGGUUGGUGAAUUUCCUGAUAAUCAUUUUACGGCAGCGGUUGAAAAUUGGAGGGUUACGGAGUGUUGUAGGGAGGACUGUAGUGUUGAUAGAAUGGACAUACGGUAUAGUUUUAAACAUGUGUAUCCGCCAGGAAUGAGGUUGAGCAAGACUUUCAGGGCGAAAGUUAAAGAAUGGCAGAGCUUGCCUUAUUUAGGACCCUAUGAGGACUUGAUGGAGAAGAAGAAGAAGAAGACUAAGGCAGGACUUAAGGGAUUGGAGAAACGGGCAGUUGCUAUUGUGCAUGAAUUCUUGAGCUUGACAGUGGAGAAAAUGGUGGAAGUGGAGAAGAUCAGUCAUUUCAGGAAUUGUUUCGGGAUUGAUAUGAACAUAAGGGAUUUGUUCUUGGAUCAUCCAGGCAUGUUUUAUUUGUCUACUAAGGGGAAGAGACAUACUGUUUUCUUAAGAGAAGCGUAUGAGAGGGGUCGUUUGAUAGAUCCUAAUCGAGUUUAUGAUGUUAGGAGAAAGCUUCUUGAUCUUGUUUUUCUGGGGCGCCAUGAUAUGCUGACUAGUAAAUCAAGGUCCGUGGAGAUUGACAAGAGCGAGGAGUCUGGAUCAGAAAAUGAGAAUGUUGACUGAAUUAACAAAUUUUCAGUUGUGUAAGCUUUUGUUUACACAUAGCAUGGUCCAGUCACAUAGAUUUGACGUUUUGUGGUGUAUAAUUGAAGAUUUCCAAAGUGGGGGGAGAUGAUCAUUUGAACAGUUUUUACUGGGUACUAGUUCCUCAUCCCUCUUUCCCUUUCUGAUUCUGUCUGGGUCUUUGUCGUUGGACUUGGUUGUUUAUUGAAUAUGCAAUUGUUUAGAAGAUUGCAAUUUGUAUGUAUGUGCAUCAAUAUCAAACACAUAUUAUCACUCCAACAUGCCUGACUACUAUUUUGUUUGCUAUAUCUUCACUUAAUUCAAUUCAGUUUUGUUAGAUUUUGUUCCGAAGUUGGUAGAAGCAGCGAUGUUCUUGGGCCAUUUGAGAAUAAGGUGUAUCAUGGCACCACAUAUAAGAUAGCAUGAUUCACAGCAGAUUGCACAGGCUGACAAAUUGCGCAGCGAAAUAUCAUUGAGCAGGCUCAAGCUAACCAGCUUCGAGCUAUCCAACUUGUCAUGAGUGAUGCUCUCAAACCAUUCUCCAGGAGGGCUAGGCUAACCUACUUCAAACCCACUUGUUAAAGAUAAGUUUUUAAGAUACUCAUAAACUAAAGGUGGAACCAAAAGGCUUGAACAAGAGGACUGCGGAACUUGAAGAAGGGUCCCUGGCACUAUAGGCCGGAUAAGUGAAGACAUGGCACCUGUCAUGUUUUGGGAUGGAGCUUCAUGCUGUCAAGGUUGUGCCACUGUUCUUCAACAACUUCGCUCAGAGAGCGAUGAUUUAGAGGAGUUUACAGGUUGAGAUUCGAGAGCAGUAAGCAUUUAUGCAUGUGCAAAGACUGUGAAGGCUUAGCUUAGUUUCUGUACCCUGUUAAGUCCUGAAAGUCUGUUGAUAUAGAAGCUUCUGUUAUAUUGGGAAACAUCCACUAAUGCAGAUGUUUCUAGUCAAGACAUCUAAGAUUUGUUGCAGAAGAAUUGGGAUGCCUUUGUUAAAUGCUUGUGUCUCUUUUGUUUAUUGUCUCGCUAUAUAAAAGAUGAAGACAAUGAAUGGAAGUAGAGAGAUGUUGAUGUUUCUCUGUAUUUAGUAUAAAAAUUAACUAAAAUUAUAUUGAUUGAUUUAUUAAAAGCACUUGAGUUUUUCUGUUUGA